CUCCAGACUCCUACGGGAGGCAGCAGUGGGGGAUAUUGCACAAUGGGGGAAACCCUGAUGCAACGACGCCGCGUGGGCGAAGAAGUAUUUCGGUAUGUAAAGCCCUAUCAGCAGGGAAGAAGAAAUGACGGUACCUGAGUAAGAAGCACCGGCUAAAUACGUGCCAGCAGCCGCGGUAAUACGUAUGGUGCAAGCGUUAUCCGGAUUUACUGGGUGUAAAGGGAGCGCAGGCGGCACGGCAAGCCUGAUGUGAAAGCCCGCGGCCCAACCGCGGGACUGCAUUGGGAACUACCGGGCUGGAGUGCAGGAGGGGCAGGCGGAAUUCCUGGUGUAGCGGUGAAAUGCGUAGAUAUCAGGAGGAACACCGGUGGCGAAGGCGGCCUGCUGGACUGCAACUGACGUUGAGGCCCGAAAGCGUGGGGAGCAAACAGGAUUAGAUACCCGGGUAU
rnacentral:rRNA from 1 species